GUAGGAGUGAGCCUGCUCGCGAUGGCGAUGUGUCAGUCAAUUUCAUCGAAGCUGACACACCGCCAUCGCGAGCAGGCUCACUCCUAC
rnacentral:misc_RNA from 1 species